rnacentral:lncRNA from 1 species
CUCAAGAGGAACACAGUGGCCUACCACAGGACCUCAGCUCUGCAACUCAACUGUCUACUGCUCUGCUGUUCCUAGCAAUGGACAGAGACAGCGGUGACCUUAAAAUUGAGCCUGAUCUCACUAAGACCAACAGGAGUAUUUCAUCCAAAAUGAAGGAAGCAAAGAAUGAAGAAUUAUCUGCAGGGGAUGAAAUCAAACGUUUCACAGAAUUGUGUUUAUAAUAUGAAUCUUAAAAUAUAAGAGAGAAAAAAAUCCCUUCCACUUUAGAUAGUUGCUCAAGUACCUUAAUUCUUCACUAAGAAUAAGAACACGGCAUUUAUUGUCAAGCG